rnacentral:rRNA from 1 species
CACGGAGUUAGCCGAUCCUUAUUCGUACCGUACUUUCAAAAACCCUACUCGUAAGGCAUUUUACCCCGGUACAAAAGCAGUUUACAACUCGUAGGGCCGUCGUCCUGCACGCGGCAUGGCUGGUUCAGGAUUCCUCCCAUUGACCAAUAUUCCUCACUGCUGCCUCCCGUAGGAGUCUGGUCCGUGCUCAGUACCAGUGUGGGGGAUUAACCUCUCAGUUCCCCUAGAUAUCGCAGCCAUGGUGAGCCGUUACCUCUCCAUCCAGCUAAUAUCACGCAUGCCCAUCCGGAACCACCUCAGUUUUCAACCGACAAAGAUGCCUUCGUCAGUAUUACGGAGUAUUAGACCAAAUUUCUUCGGAUUAUCCUCCUGUCCCGGGCAGGUUGCAUACGCGUUACGCACCCGUCCGCCGGUCGCCAUCCAAUAAAGUAUGCUAUUCAUUAUGCUCGCCCCUCGUACUGCAUAGUGUUAGGCCUGCCGCUAGCGUUCAUCCU